rnacentral:rRNA from 1 species
UACAGAGACCUCAAGCGUUAUCCGGAUUUAUUGGGCGUAAAGCGUCCGCAGAUGGUUUGGCGGGUGAGGGGUUAAAACCAAAGGCUCAACCUUUGGAUCGCUCUUCAAACUACCAAACUCGAGGUUGGGAGAGGCAAGCGGAAUUCUCGGUGUAGUCGUAAUAAGCGCUGAUAUCGAGAAGAACACCAAAUGCGAAGGCAGCUUGCUGGAACACACCUGACAUUCAUGGACGAAAGCGUGGGGAGCAAACAGG